GCCCCCAUGGUGUAAUGGAUAACAUGUCUCGCUUCGGACGAGAAGACUGCAGGUUCAACUCCUGCUGGGGGCA
rnacentral:tRNA from 1 species